rnacentral:piRNA from 1 species
UGUGAAUGAGGGANCAGUAAGGACCCAGC